rnacentral:rRNA from 1 species
AUUGAACGCUGGCGGCAGGCCUAACACAUGCAAGUCGAACGGUAACAGGAAGCAGCUUGCUGCUUUGCUGUCGCGUGGCGGACGGGUGUGUCAUGUCUGUGACACUGCCUGAUGGCGGGGGAUAACUACUGGAAACGGUACCUAUUACCGCAUAACGUCGCAAGCCCAAAGAGGGGGACCUUCGGGCCUCUUUCCAUCGGCUUUGCCCAGAUGGGAUUAGCUAGUAGGUGGGGUAACGGCUCACCUAGGCGACGAUCCCUAGCUGGUCUGAGAGGAUGACCAGCCACACUGGAACUGAGACACGGUCCAGACUCCUACGGGAGGCAGCAGUGGGGAAUAUUGCACAAUGGGCGAAAGCCUGAUGCAGCCAUGCCGCGUGUAUGAAGAAGGCCUUCGGGUUGUAAAGUACUUUCAGCGGGGAGGAAGGGAGGAAAGUUAAUACCUGUACUCAUUGACGGUACCCGAAGAAGAAGCACCGGCUAACUCCGUG